UACGUAGGGACCGAGCGUUGUCCGGAAUCAUUGAGGCGUAAAGAGCGUGUAGGCGGCCAAUUAAGUCCUGGCGUGAAACUCUCGGGGCUCAACCCCGAGCGGUCGUGGGAAACUGGUUGGCUAGAGUGCGGGAGAGGAGAGUGGAAUUCCUGGUGUAGCGGUGAAAUGCGCAGAUAGUCAGGAAGAACACCCGUGGCGAAGGCGGCUCUCUGGAACGCAACUGACGCUGAGACGCGAAAGCGUGGGGAGCAAACAGG
rnacentral:rRNA from 1 species